UGCUCGGUCCAUGGCCCAAGUUGGAUGACUGUUUAUACUACUUCCUGGCAAAGUUAAAGUAAUGGUACAUUCAAUUAGAAGGAUUUUCUCUUAAAAGUAGCAAAUGGAUCUUGGUGUCCAGAAUGGGUGUUAAUGACUGACUGAUACAAUGGAAUCCUGGAAAGAACUCUCCCAGUGCUGUCUCAUUAACCAGAUGACCUCCAGACAUUGUCAGUGCAACCCGGCCGAGGUGAUUGAUCACCAGAGAACAGAGCUGCCAGCCCUCUCAUGAAUGCUUGGCCAUGUCCACAAGAGUGAAUAUGUGAGAGAUUUGAGAACAAAUGAAAGAAAUUUCAACAAUCACAGAUACUGGAAAUGCCUAAAUGUGAGUCAUUGGGGUCCAGUUAUCAAGGAUCAAGAGUGGAAACGGGACAAUGAGGUACAAUGGAAAGAACCUGAAGAGAAGUCUGAGAAAUUGGAAUUUUUCCUGUUUAACUACUUUCUAAUUGUGGCAA